rnacentral:tRNA from 1 species
GUUUUAAUAGUUUAAAAACAAAACUACAAUUUUGUAAAUUGUAAAUGGUAAUAAAAUUAACCUUAAAACU